rnacentral:rRNA from 1 species
UGGCGAACGGGUGAGUAACGCGUGAGGAACCUGCCUCAAAGAGGGGGACAACAGUUGGAAACGACUGCUAAUACCGCAUAAGCCCACGGCUCGGCAUCGAGCGGAGGGAAAAGGAGUGAUCCGCUUUGAGAUGGCCUCGCGUCCGAUUAGCUGGUUGGUGAGGUAAUGGCCCACCAAGGCAACGAUCGGUAGCCGGACUGAGAGGUUGAACGGCCACAUUGGGACUGAGACACGGCCCAAACUCCUACGGGAGGCAGCAUG